AUACGGAGGGUCCAAGCGUUAUCCGGAAUCAUUGGGUUUAAAGGGUCCGUAGGCGGGCAAUUAAGUCAGAGGUGAAAUCCCACAGCUCAACUGUGGAACUGCUUUUGAUACUGGUUGUCUUGAAUUAUAGUGAAGUAGAUAGAAUAUGUAGUGUAGCGGUGAAAUGCUUAGAUAUUACAUAGAAUACCGAUUGCGAAGGCAGUCUACUAACUGUAUAUUGACGCUGAUGGACGAAAGCGUGGGGAGCGAACAGGAUUAGAAACCCUAGUAGUCC
rnacentral:rRNA from 1 species